GCAGUCUCUGAGCAGGAUGGUCAAAAUUUAGCUGAGAAGGAAGGACUGUCAUUUCUUGAGACAUCGGCAUUGGAAGCAGUCAACGUAGAUAAGGCUUUUCAGACUAUACUAACCGAGAUAUACCAUAUCAUAAGCAAGAAGGCGCUGGCUGCACAAGCAGCAGCCACAACCACUACUCUUCCUGGUCAGGGUACAACCAUCAAUGUUAAUGACACCUCUGAUAAUGUGAAGAGAGGCUGCUGUUCUACCUG
rnacentral:misc_RNA from 1 species